UAUGUAGUUUAAUGUGUGUAGGGCCCUAAAAAUAUUCAAUACGAGCAUAGGAAAAAGCGGGGAACCUAGUCCUUCGUGGGACGUGAUCAAGUGUCAACAACAAUUCGGUAAUAAGGAAUGUGGAUUCUAUGUGAUGCGGUACAUGAGAGAUAUCAUUGAGAAUUAUGGAUCUAACAACACUAUUCCAAUCCCUUUCAUGUUUUGUGAAGAAUAUUACUCGAAGGAAGAAAUUGAUAAAGUCCGUAUUGAGUGGGCUGAGUACGUGGCUAAUUUUAUGGUUGUUUGUGAUGGUAAGUUUGGCAACUCCCUUCCAAUGUUGGAUUUCAAAGCUUACUAACAAUUUUGUGACAUGAGGUUUUGUGUUGUCUAUCAGUCCCCAUAUAUACUAAUACUAUAGUUGACAAACUUUUUUUUGUUAGA